rnacentral:rRNA from 1 species
UACGGAGGGGGCUAGCGUUGUUCGGAAUUACUGGGCGUAAAGCGCACGUAGGCGGCUUUGUAAGUUAGAGGUGAAAGCCCGGGGCUCAACUCCGGAAUUGCCUUUAAGACUGCAUCGCUAGAAUUGUGGAGAGGUAAGUGGAAUUCCGAGUGUAGAGGUGAAAUUCGUAGAUAUUCGGAAGAACACCAGUGGCGAAGGCGGCUUGCCAGAACGCACUCGACGGUGAGGGAUGAAAGCUGGGGGGAGCAAACCGG